rnacentral:rRNA from 1 species
UACGGGGGGAGCAAGCGUUGUUCGGAUUUACUGGGCGUAAAGGGCACGUAGGCGGCCACCGCAAGUCGACUGUGAAAUCUCCGGGCUUAACUCGGAAAGGUCAGCCGAUACUGCGGGGCUAGAGUGCAGAAGGGGCAACUGGAAUUCUCGGUGUAGCGGUGAAAUGCGUAGAUAUCGAGAGGAACACCUGCGGCGAAGGCGGGUUGCUGGGCUGACACUGACGCUGAUUGUGCGAAAGCUAGGGGAGCGAACGGG